rnacentral:rRNA from 1 species
UACGGAGGAUGCAAGCGUUAUCCGGAUUUAUUGGGUUUAAAGGGUCCGUAGGCGGGCUAAUAAGUCAGUGGUGAAAUCGAGCAGCUUAACUGUUCAACUGCCAUUGAAACUGUUGGUCUUGAGUGAAUUUGAAGUUGCCGGAAUAUGUAGUGUAGCGGUGAAAUGCAUAGAUAUUACAUAGAACACCAAUUGCGAAGGCAGGUAACUAAGAUUUAACUGACGCUGAUGGACGAAAGCGUGGGGAGCGAACAGGAUUAGAUACCCUGGUA